rnacentral:rRNA from 1 species
GUGGGGAAUAUUGGACAAUGGGGGAAACCCUGAUCCAGCAAUGCCGCGUGGGUGAAGAAGGCCUUAGGGUUGUAAAGCCCUUUCACCGGGGAAGAUAAUGACGGUACCCGGAGAAGAAGCCCCGGCUAACUCCGUGCCAGCAGCCGCGGUAAUACGGAGGGGGCUAGCGUUGUUCGGAAUUACUGGGCGUAAAGCGCGCGUAGGCGGUUUGUUAAGUUGGGCGUGAAAGCCCGGGGCUCAACCCCGGAACUGCGCUCAAAACUGGCAGACUCGAGACCGGAAGAGGGUAGCGGAAUUCCCAGUGUAGAGGUGAAAUUCGUAGAUAUUGGGAGGAACACCAGCGGCGAAGGCGGCUACCUGGUCCGGUACUGACGCUAAGGUGCGAAAGCGUGGGGAGCAAACAGG